CAUUUACUCAUAAAAAUAAGUCAUCCCUCCCCAUUCUGAAAAGCUUCUGUGGCCAAAAAAAAAAUGUCUAAGUUUUAUUUUAAAAUUACUAUUUUGGCCCCUUCCAAAUAAUAGUUUCCGGGUCUAUCCUGCCUAUCAGUGCACCACAGCUGGUACAAAUAAAAGAAGAGGAGGAAAAAAAGUGACUGUCACUCAGACCAUAUCUCAUCUUCAGUUAAUUACCGCCAAAUUUGAACGACCUCUCAAUGGAGGUACCUGUGUCCUUAAACCUCCAAAACCUUCCACUCUUACCCAGACAAAGCCUAAACAAAGACUCAAAACACUGGAAUUCAAUCAUCAAACACCAUACAAAACUGAAAGAUGAUCAUGCAAUCCUCAAUACACAUACCCAAAUGGAAGCUUUGGGCAUUUCACCUGAUAAUUCCGUUUUGCCUCUCGUCCUCAAGGCGUGUGGACGGCUACAAGCCAUCGAGAAAGGAAAGAGAAUACAUAACGAUAUUUGCAAUACGGAUUUGAUCAAUGAUGUUCGAGUUCGGACUGCUCUUGUUGAUUUUUACUGCAAAUGUGGGUUUCACGAAAUUGCCCGUUAUCUGUUCGAUGAAAUGAACGAGAGAGAUGUUGUUUCAUGGAAUGCUAUGAUAUCUGGGUAUGUGGGUUGCUCUCUCUACGAAGAGGCAAUAGGGUUAUUUUUUAAAAUGCAGCAGGAGAAGUUGAAACCAAACUCGGUUACUGCGGUGACACUGCUUUCAGCAUGUGGGGAGCUAUUGGAAAUGGGGCUUGGGAAAGAGAUACAUGGAUUUUGUUUGAGGAAUGGAUUAUUUGAUUCGAAUCCCCAUGUGGGUACUGCUUUGAUUGGAUUCUAUAUGAGGUUUGAUGUGAGGACUUCUAGUCUUGUGUUUGAAAUGAUGGGUUUGAGGAACACUGUGAGUUGGAAUGCAAUGGUUUCUGGGUAUUUUGAUGAGGGUGAUUCCUUGAAAACUUUAAAGCUUUUUCGGCAGAUGAUCAUGGACGGAGUUAAAUUUGAUUCCAUUACAAUGUUGGUUGUUAUACAGGCUUGUACAGAACUUGGAUUUCUUAAAUUGGGCAUGCAAGUUCAUCAACUGGUAAUCAAAUUUGAUUUUCACAAAGAUCUAUACAUAGCAAAUUCGUUGGUGAAUAUGUAUGGGAAGAACGGAAGUUUAGAAUCUGCACUUGAUCUAUUUGAAUCCAUCCCUACCAGAGAUGUUGCUUUGUGGAAUUCUAUGAUAUCUGUCUUUGUUGAAAUUGGCUCACAUGAGGAAGCAAUGAGUUUGUUUACCAGAAUGCGAUUGGAAGGCACUCAAGAAAAUGAAAGAACUAUUCUUAUUUUAUUGUCUUUAUGUGCUGACUCAGCUGAUGGUUUGAGAAAUGGUGAAAGCUUACACGCUCUUGUAAUUAAAAGUGGGAUGGAGAGGAUCACAUCUGUUGGAAAUUCAUUAUUAAAUUUGUACACACAGCUUAAUUGUGUUGAAGAUUCCUUAAAGGUUUAUAAUGAGAUCAGAGAUCCGGAUGCUAUCUCAUGGAACACUUUGAUAUUGGCAUUGGCGCAUAGCAAAUUAAAAGGUCAAGCAUGGGAACUCUUUCGGCAGAUGCAAGAGUCAGAUACCAAACCUAACGCUUAUACAAUAAUUUCUAUUCUUGCAGUUUGUGAAAAUGAAACUUUUCUUAAUAUUGGCAGGUCCAUCCAUGGUUAUUUGAUAAAACAUGGAAUUGAAAUCAAACCGUCACUGAACACCGCUCUCACAGAGAUGUAUAUGAACUGCAAAGAUGAAGCAACAGCUGUGAAUUUAUUUGAGAGUUGUACUGACAGGGAUUUGAUUUCAUGGAAUGCUCUGAUCACUAGUUAUAUUAAAAACAGUCAAUCCCACAAAGCCAUGUUACUUUUUCGCUGUAUGAUAUCAGAAGUAGAACCCAACUCCACUACAAUCAUAAAUCUUCUCUCAUCAUGUACUCAUCUAGCCAAUCUUCCUCAGGGCCGAUGCUUACAUGCUUACACCAUACGGAGGGAAUCCUCAUGGGGUUUUGAUUUGUCUCUUGCAAAUGCCUUUAUAACUAUGUAUGCAAGAUGUGGUAGUAUGCAAUACGCGGAAAAGAUCUUCAAAACGUUACCAAGGAAAAAUAUUGUCACAUGGAAUGCCAUGAUUGCUGGCUAUGGUAUGCAUGGACGUGGUUUUGAUGCUAUGAUUGCCUUCUCACAAAUGUUAGAAGGUGGUUUCAAACCAAAUGGAAUAACUUUUGUGUCUGCUUUAUCAGCUUGCAGCCAUUCUGGUUUGAUACAGGAGGGCCUGCAGCUUUUCCACUCCAUGGUUCAGGAUUUUUCCAUAGCCCCUGAACUUGUGCACUAUUCUUGUGUUGUUGAUCUUCUGGGGCGUGGAGGGUGCAUUGAUGAAGCCAGGAAGUUCAUUAAUUCGAUGCCCAUUGAACCAGAUGUAUCAGUUUGGAGAGCAUUGCUCGGUGCUUGCCGAGUUUUCUCUGAAACUAAACUAGCUAAAGGCAUCUUUGAAAAGCUCAUUGAAUUAGAACCAACAAAUGCAGGAAAUUAUGUUUUGUUGUCUAAUAUCUACGCUGCAGCAGGUCUUUGGUCUGAGGUCAGAAAAUUAAGAAUCCUGCUUGAAGAGAAGGGUUUGAAAAAGCCUGCAGGAAGAAGUUGGAUGAUUGUCAAAAAUGAGGUUCACUGUUUUACUGCUGGAGAUAAAUCACACCCUCAAUCGGACAAAAUUUAUGCAAAAUUAAGUUCAUUGUUGCCUUCAAUUAAAAAAACUGGAUAUGUUCCCGAUCUUCAUUGUGUUCUUCAUGAUGAAGAGGAUGAUAAGAAAAUUAAGAGGCUCUUCAGCCACAGUGAGAAGCUUGCUAUUGCAUUUGGACUGAUCAGCGUUAGUGGUGGGAACCCAAUCUUGAUCACCAAGAACCUAAGGGUUUGCGGCGACUGCCAUGAAUUUAGUAAAUGUGUCUCUAAAUUUUCUGGGAGGGAAAUAGUGAUCAGGGACAGAAGCCGUUACCAUCAUUUUAUUAAUGGUGUCUGCUCAUGCAAGGAUUAUUGGUGAGGCCUAAGGAAAAGCUCAGAAAAUUCCAGUGUUUGGAGGGUCGAUAUUUAUUGGUAUGCUUCCGGAUGAGGAAAAAAUUUGCAAAGUGUGGAAUGACCAUUGAAUAUCAAUAUGGGAACACUGGAAGAGAGAGUCCAACAAUCAUCCUGGAACACUUUUGAAGUCACCAGCUCUGAACUGGAAUACUUAUUAACUACUGAUUUUCUGGGAGGCACAACUAGUUUCACUAUGCUUCAAAUUUGAGUUGUGAAGGAAUUUUUUGGGCCUAAAACACUAAACUUCUCUUCUUUUUCUUUCAGAUAAUUGGCUAUAAAUUUCUGUGAUCUCUGUUCACUCCAGUUGUUUCUUUUUUAUGAAUGUGGUUCUUAGGCUGCAAAUUUCACUGUGCACAUAGUCCCGUUUGUUUCAAGUGUGGUCGCGUGUUUGGUCAAACAACUUCUAAUAUGGCAAGAGACAAUUGGCAAUCUGGACAUGGUGGUGCAAUGGUUUCAACACUAGGUACGAACUCAUUCAUCCGUUCUUGAUGAGAUUCAUUGGCUUGUGCAGUGCAUAUACAAUUCAAGUAUUACCCUUGUUUAUGUAAGAUCAAUAUCGCCAUUAUGAAGAAUGGACCUAUUGGUCAAUUUGUCAUUUUCAGGCAAACUUUAUAAAAAAUGCAUGAUUUCAAAUAAAUAAAGAAGAAACGUUUGGGAAGACGCACGCACACAUACAGGUUUGAACACACCACUUUGACUGAAUAAAAUUGUAACUUGUUUUCAAUAUGAUGUUGGCAGUUGGAAUAAGAAGUUUUUUCUUUUUCUUUUUGAAAAAAAUAAAUAAAUAAAAUAAAUAAAUAAAUUUAUUUAUUCCUACAAUUACAGGUUAGUGAAAAGGUUGGACUUUUCUGCUACGUAGUUAUAUGGGAAGUUUUGGGCUGUUUAAAUUGCAACUCAAGCAUUUAUCUGAAGCUGCAUAGGGCAAACAUGCACAUUUGUGCUUGUGUAUGAAGAUUGGAGAAAGAGAGAUUCUCCAAAAAAAAAAAAAAAAAAUUUGGUUAACAAUUUUUUAAAAAAUGUUCUUUGAAAGCGAGUCAAAAAGAUUUCUGAAGUUGUAUUUCAUUUCCAGAAUUUUUGUUUUUCAGAUAAUUGAAUCAAACCUACCCUAAGUAUUUCCAAGUCUAGUCAUAAAGGGGGAACAAAUAUUUUUUGUGGAAAUUUGCUGUCAAGAUACAAUUUCAUGCAUGACAGUUCAAAUAUUAUUCUUGAAUUCAUUAUUAUGUGUGGACAAAAUUAUCUAAUAGAUGUAACCUUGGUCGGUUUGAAAUCAAGCUUUAGUAGACUCAAGGCUAAAAAAAAUCCAAAUGAUAACAAAUCAUGUAUCAUUGUCAUUAUUAUAUUUUCUGAAGACCUAGUCAAAGCAUAAGAUGGGAAAUUAUGUAGAUUCACAAUCCAAAGAUUGUUUAGUAGUUUACUCGUCAACAGUGAGUAAUUUAUACCUAUAUGUUUGAAAAUGGUUGUUAUAUAAAUGCAAAACAAACUUCUCAUCAGUUGCUAUCUUUCAUUUGACAGUCUCUGUCUCCCACCUUUAACACAGUUAAC